rnacentral:rRNA from 1 species
UACAGAGGGGGCAAGCGUUAUUCGGAAUUACUGGGCGUAAAGCGUGCGCAGGCGGUUCGCUAAGACCGAUGUGAAAUCCCCGGGCUUAACCUGGGAACUGCAUUGGUGACUGGCGGGCUAGAGUAUGGCAGAGGGGGGUAGAAUUCCACGUGUAGCAGUGAAAUGCGUAGAGAUGUGGAGGAAUACCGAUGGCGAAGGCAGCCCCCUGGGCCAAUACUGACGCUCAUGCACGAAAGCGUGGGGAGCAAACAGG